rnacentral:rRNA from 1 species
AGCCAUCCGCGGUUUAGAAGAAGCCUUCGGGUUGUAAAUACUUUCACCAUGAAGGAAGUGGGUAUGUUAAUAGCAUACUCAUUUGACGUUAGCUGCAGAAGAAGCACCGGCUAAUUUCGUGCCAGCAGCCGCGGUAAUACGGAGGGUGCGAGCGUUAAUCGGAAUUACUGGGCGUAAAGCGCAUGCAGGUGGUUUGUUAAGUCAGAUGUGAAAGCCCGGGGCUCAACCUCGGAAUUGCAUUUGAAACUGGCAAACUAGAGUACUGUAGAGGGGGGUAGAAUUUCAGGUGUAGCGGUGAAAUGCGUAGAGAUCUGAAGGAAUACCGGUGGCGAAGGCGGCCCCCUGGACAGAUACUGACACUCAGAUGCGAAAGCGUGGGGAGCAAACAGGAUUAGAUACCCUGGUAGUCCACGCCGUAAACGAUGUCUACUUGGAGGUUGUGGCCUUGAGCCGUGGCUUUCGGAGCUAACGCGUUAAGUAGACCGCCUGGGGAGUACGGUCGCAAGAUUAAAACUCAAAUGAAUUGACGGGGGCCCGCACAAGCGGUGGAGCAUGUGGUUUAAUUCGAUGCAACGCGAAGAACCUUACCUACUCUUGACAUCUACAGAAGCCAGCGGAGACGCAGGUGUGCCUUCGGGAACUGUAAGACAGGUGCUGCAUGGCUGUCGUCAGCUCGUGUUGUGAAAUGUUGGGUUAAGUCCCGCAACGAGCGCAACCCUUAUCCUUGUUUGCCAGCACUUCGGGUGGGAACUCCAGGGAGACUGCCGGUGAUAAACCGGAGGAAGGUGGGGACGACGUCAAGUCAUCAUGGCCCUUACGAGUAGGGCUACACACGUGCUACAAUGGCGCAUACAGAGGGCGGCCAACUUGCGAAAGUGAGCGAAUCCCAAAAAGUGCGUCGUAGUCCGGAUUGGAGUCUGCAACUCGACUCCAUGAAGUCGGAAUCGCUAGUAAUCGUGGAUCAGAAUGCCACGGUGAAUACGUUCCCGGGCCUUGUACACACCGCCCGUCACACCAUGGGAGUGGGCUGCAAAAGAAGUGGGUAGUUUAACCUUCGGGAGGACGCUCACCACUUUGUGGUUCAUGACUGGGGUGAAGUCGUAACAAGGUAACCG